AACCCCUACUGCAGGUGGGGACACCCUGUUUCACUGCGAAUGGAGUGUAGUAAGGGGCGAUAACUCAGUUAUCGUUCCUUGCGGAGCGAAAUGAAAGUAUGGGCUAAUUCACCCAUUUUGCCGGCUAUUGUAGCGAUUUGAGGGUGGAAAAAAUGGCACAUACAAUCUCUAUGGUUUUUUGAACCAUUGUAAAACUCGACUCGAUCUAGGUCUGGA